GCGCGUGCGCGCCCGGGUCGGCGCGCGCUCCGUCCAGCCCAGCUCGCGCGGAGGCAAGGGGACGGCCGGACGCGCGGCUCCCUCAGGUUCUUGAGCACCCCUAACCGCAAAAGAGGGGGAGGUUGCGGUGUUUGGGACCGGCCCUAAACAGAGAGCGGCAAAAAGCUCCCAUCUGCUGGUGACUCUCCAGAUAACUGCAACAGCCAAGACAGGGUCAGACCUAAAUCAGGAACCGAAAGUUUAAUCCAGAUCUCCCACAUGGAGGGCAGGGAUCCGACUACUUGAACCAACAUCACCACUGCCUCCACAUCAGCAGGAAGCUGGCAUCGGAAGCAGAGUCAGGAUUCAAACCCAGGUGCUGCCACCCAUCCUGAUAUGGUUUGCCCUAGUCCUGGCAUUCACUGGCCUAGCCUGACUGGCCUACACCCAUUCUUGCCCUCUGUGACUCUGGGAAGCUUUUCACAGUGAAAAGGGGAACAGGCUUGAAGCACACUCCUAGACCUCAGCAUUGACCUACGUAUGACUUGGGCUG